GCCCGCUCAAGGAAACUUAAAGGAAGUUGACGGGGACCCGCACAAGCGGUGGAUGAUGUGGUUUAAUUCGAUGCAACGCGAAAAACCUUACCCACCUUUGACAUGUACGGAAGCCUUUAGAGAUAGAGGCGUGCUCGAAAGAGAGCCGUAACACAGGUGCUGCAUGGCUGUCGUCAGCUCGUGUCGUGAGAUGUUGGGUUAAGUCCCGCAACGAGCGCAACCCUUGUCAUUAGUUGCUACAUUCAGUUGGGCACUCUAAUGAGACUGCCGGUGACAAGCCGGAGGAAGGUGGGGAUGACGUCAAGUCCUCAUGGCCCUUAUAGGUGGGGCUACACACGUCAUACAAUGGCUGGUACAAAGGGUUGCCAACCCGCGAGGGGGAGCUAAUCCCAUAAAGCCAGUCGUAGUCCGGAUCGUAGUCUGCAACUCGACUACGUGAAGUCGGAAUCGCUAGUAAUCGUGGAUCAGAAUGUCACGGUGAAUACGUUCCCGGGUCUU
rnacentral:rRNA from 1 species